CAAAAUGUAGCUUCAGUUAAAGCCUGGGCGAAACUCGACCGCUUCUCUCCUCCCUGUGUUCUCCUCUCGUGUGAUAUGGUAGCAAAAGAAAUCAUUAUCAAGUAAUAAAAUGCACUUCGGAUGCCUUGUAAAUCUUCAAGCGAGAUAAAAGUUUGCAACUUUGCAUAGAGAGCUUUAUAUAGUUGAUUACCUUGGCACAAGAGAACCCAGUGACAAGGCUGUGCUGCUUCAUUGUCUGAGAUCG
rnacentral:lncRNA from 1 species